AGUGAACGCUGGCGGUAGGCCUAACACAUGCAAGUCGAACGGCAGCACAGUAAUAGCUUGCUCUUACGAGUGGCGAGUGGCGGACGGGUGAGGAAUACAUCGGAAUCUACUUUUUCGUGGGGGAUCACGUAGGGAAACUUACGCUAAUACCGCAUACGCCCUACGGGUGAAAGCAGGGGAUCUUCGGACCUUGCGCGAUUGAAUUAGCCGAUGUCGGAUUAGCUAGUUGGCGGGGUAAAGGCCCACCAAGGCGACGAUCCGUAGCUGGUCUGAGAGGAUGAGCAGCCACACUGGAACUGAGACACGGUACAGACUCCUACGGGAGGCAGCAGUGGGGAAUAUUGGACAAUGGGCGCAAGCCUGAUCCAGCCAUACCGCGUGGGUGAAGAAGGCCUUCGGGUUGUAAAGCCCUUUUGUUGGGAAAGAAAAGCAGCAGGUUAAUACCCCGCUGUUCUGAAGGUACACAAAGAAUAAGCACCGGCUAAAUUCGUG
rnacentral:rRNA from 1 species